rnacentral:rRNA from 1 species
UACUUAGUGGCGGACGGGUGAGUAAUGCUUAGGAAUCUGCCUAGUAGUGGGGGAUAACUUGGGGAAACCCAAGCUAAUACCGCAUACGACCUACGGGUGAAAGGGGGCUUUUAGCUCUCGCUAUCAGAUGAGCCUAAGUCGGAUUAGCUGGUUGGUGGGGUAAAGGCCUACCAAGGCGACGAUCUGUAGCUGGUCUGAGAGGAUGAUCAGCCACACUGGGACUGAGACACGGCCCAG